UCGGGAUAGCUCAGUUGGUAGAGCAGAGGACUGAAAAUCCUCGUGGUCACCAGGUUCAAUAA
rnacentral:tRNA from 1 species